UGGGGAGUACGGCCGCAAGGUUAAAACUCAAAUGAAUUGACGGGGGCCCGCACAAGCGGUGGAGCAUGUGGUUUAAUUCGAUGCAACGCGAAGAACCUUACCAUCCCUUGACAUCCAGAGAAUUUUCUAGAGAUAGAUUAGUGCCUUCGGGAGCUCUGAGACAGGUGCUGCAUGGCUGUCGUCAGCUCGUGUUGUGAAAUGUUGGGUUAAGUCCCGCAACGAGCGCAACCCUUAUCCUUAGUUGCCAGCGAUUCGGUCGGGAACUCUAAGGAGACUGCCGGUGAUAAACCGGAGGAAGGUGGGGACGACGUCAAGUCAUCAUGGCCCUUACGGGAUGGGCUACACACGUGCUACAAUGGCAGGUACAAAGGGCAGCGAGACCGCGAGGUGGAGCGAAUCCCAUAAAGCCUGUCGUAGUCCGGAUUGGAGUCUGCAACUCGACUCCAUGAAGUCGGAAUCGCUAGUAAUCGUGGAUCAGAAUGCCACGGUGAAUACGUUCCCGGGCCUUGUACACACCGCCCGUCAC
rnacentral:rRNA from 1 species